UACGUAGGGUGCAAGCGUUGUCCGGAAUUAUUGGGCGUAAAGCGCUCGUAGGCGGUUUGUUGCGUCGGCUGUGAAAUCCCGAGGCUCAACCUCGGGUCUGCAGUCGAUACGAGCAAACUAGAGUGUUGCAGGGGAGACUGGAAUUCCUGGUGUAGCGGUGAAAUGCGCAGAUAUCAGGAGGAACACCGGUGGCGAAGGCGGGUCUCUGGGCAACAACUGACGCUGAGACGCGAAAGCGUGGGGAGCGAACAGG
rnacentral:rRNA from 1 species